rnacentral:rRNA from 1 species
UACGUAGGUGGCAAGCGUUGUCCGGAUUUAUUGGGCGUAAAGGGAGCGCAGGCGGUGACUUAAGUCUGAUGUGAAAGCCCACGGCUCAACCGUGGAAGGUCAUUGGAAACUGGGUCACUUGAAUAUAGAAGAGGAAAGUGGAAUUCCAUGUGUAGCGGUGAAAUGCGUAGAUAUAUGGAGGAACACCAGUGGCGAAGGCGGCUUGCUGGACGGCAACUGACGUUGAGGCUCGAAAGCGUGGGGAGCAAACAGGAUUAGAUACCCU